rnacentral:rRNA from 1 species
GAUGAACGCUGGCGGCGUGCCUAAUACAUGCAAGUCGAGCGAACAGACGAGGAGCUUGCUCCUCUGACGUUAGCGGCGGACGGGUGAGUAACACGUGGAUAACCUACCUAUAAGACUGGGAUAACUUCGGGAAACCGGAGCUAAUACCGGAUAAUAUAUUGAACCGCAUGGUUCAAUAGUGAAAGACGGUUUUGCUGUCACUUAUAAAUGGAUCCGCGCCGCAUUAGCUAGUUGGUAAGGUAACGGCUUACCAAGGCAACGAUGCGUAGCCGACCUGAGAGGGUGAUCGGCCACACUGGAACUGAGACACGGUCCAGACUCCUACGGGAGGCAGCAGUAGGGAAUCUUCCGCAAUGGGCGAAAGCUUGACGGAGCAACGCCGCGUGAGUGAUGAAGGUCUUCGGAUCGUAAAACUCUGUUAUUAGGGAAGAACAAAUGUGCAAGUAACUAUGCACGUCUUGACGGUACCUAAUCAGAAAGCCACGGCUAACUACGUG